GUCUCAGUUCGGAUUGUAGUCUGCAACUCGACUACAUGAAGCUGGAAUCGCUAGUAAUCGCAGAUCAGAAUGCUGCGGUGAAUACGUUCCCGGGCCUUGUACACACCGCCCGUCAAGCCAUGGGAGUCGGGAGUGCCUGAAGUUCGUGACCGUCACAGGAGCGACCUAAGGCAAGACCGAUGACUGGGGCUAAGUCGUAACAAGGUACC
rnacentral:rRNA from 1 species